UACGUAGGGGACAAGCGUUGUCCGGAUUUAUUGGGCGUAAAGAGCGUGUAGGCGGCCAUGUAGGUCCGUUGUGAAAACUCGAGGCUCAACCUCGAGACGCCGAUGGAAACCAUGUGGCUAGAGUCCGGAAGAGGAGUGUGGAAUUCCUGGUGUAGCGGUGAAAUGCGCAGAUAUCAGGAGGAACACCGGUGGCGAAGGCGGGUCUCUGGGCCGAUACUGACGCUGAGGAGCGAAAGCGUGGGGAGCGAACAGG
rnacentral:rRNA from 1 species